AGGCAAACAUGGCCUAGCAUCUUUAAGUGUUCAACAUCAACCAUUAAGAGGCAGUAAAACUGAGCUUACCACACCAGAAGGCAAUAUUCUGCCAGAGCUAUAGCAACUGAAAUGACCAACCAAAUCACCUAUCUGAUUAGAGAAUGAGUCUCUCUGCAUGCCAUGGACAUAGAAGAUGUAGUGUCAGG